AACGAACGCUGGCGGCAUGCCUAACACAUGCAAGUCGAACGAGACCUUCGGGUCUAGCGGCGGACGGGUGAGUAACGCGUGGGAACGUGCCCUUUGGUACGGAAUAGCCCCGGGAAACUGGGAGUAAUACCGUAUAAGCUCUUCGGAGGAAAGAUUUAUCGCCAAAGGAUCGGCCCGCGUUGGAUUAGGUAGUUGGUGGGGGUAAUGGCCUACCAAGCCGACGAUCCAUAGCUGGUUUGAGAGGAUGAUCAGCCACACUGGGACUGAGACACGGCCCAGACUCCGUACGGAGGCAGCAGUGGGAAUCUUAGACAAUGGGCGCAAGCCUGAUCUAGCCAUGCCGCGUGAGCGAUGAAGGCCUUAGGGUUGUAAAGCUCUUUCAGUGGGAAGAUAAUGACUGUACCCACAGAAGAAGCCCCGGCUAA
rnacentral:rRNA from 1 species